rnacentral:rRNA from 1 species
CAAUAGCGUAUAUUAAAGUUGUUGCAGUUAAAAAGCUCGUAGUUGGAUUUGUGGCGGUCCCUGUGGUCCAAUUUUGGUACUCUCGGGGACUGCCAUCCUUGGGUGGAUCCUGUGUGGCAUUAGGUUGUCGUGCAGGGGAUGCCCAUCGUUUACUGUGAAAAAAUUAGAGUGUUCAAAGCAGGCUUACGCCGUUGAAUAUAUUAGCAUGGAAUAAUGAGAUAGGACCUUGGUACUAUUUUGUUGGUUUGCGCACCGAGGUAAUGAUUAAUAGGGACAGUUGUGGGUAUUCGUAUUCCAUUGUCAGAGGUGAAAUUCUUGGAUUUCUGGAAGACGAACUAAUGCGAAAGCAUUUAUCAAGGAUGUUUNCAUUAA